rnacentral:rRNA from 1 species
AGUGAACGCUGGCGGUAGGCCUAACACAUGCAAGUCGAACGGCAGCACAGAGGAGCUUGCUCCUCGGGUGGCGAGUGGCGGACGGGUGAGGAAUACAUCGGAAUCUACUCUGUCGUGGGGGAUAACGUAGGGAAACUUACGCUAAUACCGCAUACGACCUACGGGUGAAAGCAGGGGACCUUCGGGCCUUGCGCGAUUGACUGAGCCGAUGUCGGAUUAGCUAGUUGGCGGGGUAAAGGCCCACCAAGGCGACGAUCCGUAGCUGGUCUGAGAGGAUGAUCAGCCACACUGGAACUGAGACACGGUCCAGACUCCUACGGGAGGCAGCAGUGGGGAAUAUUGGACAAUGGGCGCAAGCCUGAUCCAGCCAUACCGCGUGGGUGAAGAAGGCCUUCGGGUUGUAAAGCCCUUUUGUUGGGAAAGAAAUCCAGCUGGCUAAUACCCGGUUGGGAUGACGGUACCCAAAGAAUAAGCACCGGCUAACUUCGUGCCAGCCGCCGCGGUAA